AGAAAGCAGUGGAGCUGGUUGGUGCCAGAGAUUUUAUUUUUUUGAUACAAGAAGUCAGAGUGAUGAGCUCCAUGCAAAAAAGAGAGGGUAUAGUACAUGCCAAGCACUGUGUGUAUGGGCGUCAAACAAAACAAAUCCUCUGUGAUCCGUCCUUCGCCCUGGAAGAGGUACAAAGCUGACCUGAUGUGCUUUCACGAAGACUCACUAACUGAGCACAGCGAAUCAACUCGGGGCCAAUAGGGGAGGGCAGGAUGCAUCCCCAACAGGCAUCGUGACAGCAUGGACCACAUCGGAUGCAGUAAGAAGCAUCUGGGUACCUCAGU